AUUGAACGCUGGCGGCAGGCUUAACACAUGCAAGUCGAACGGUAACGGGAAGGAAGCUUGCUUUCUUUGCUGACGAGUGGCGGACGGGUGAGUAAUGCUUGGGAAUCUGUUUUAUGGAGGGGGAUAACUACGGGAAACUGUAGCUAAUACCGCGUAAUAUCGAGAGAUUAAAGUGUGGGACCGCAAGGCCACAUGCCAUGAAGUGAGCCCAAGUGGGAUUAGGUAGUUGGUGGGGUAAAGGCCUACCAAGCCGUCGAUCUCUAGCUGGUCUGAGAGGAUGACCAGCCACACUGGGACUGAGACACGGCCCAGACUCCUACGGGAGGCAGCAGUGGGGAAUAUUGCACAAUGGGCGCAAGCCUGAUGCAGCCAUGCCGCGUGAAUGAAGAAGGCCUUCGGGUUGUAAGGUUCUUUCGGUGGUGAGGAAGGUUGGCGUGUUAAUAGCACGUUGAUUUGACGUUAGCCACAGAAGAAGCACCGGCUAACUCCGUGCCAGCAGCCGCGGUAAUACGGAGGGUGCGAGCGUUAAUCGGAAUAACUGGGCGUAAAGGGCACGCAGGCGGAUACUUAAGUGAGGUGUGAAAGCCCUGGGCUUAACCUAGGAAUUGCAUUUCAUACUGGGUAUCUAGAGUAUUUUAGGGAGGGGUAGAAUUCCACGUGUAGCGGUGAAAUGCGUAGAGAUGUGGAGGAAUACCGAAGGCGAAGGCAGCCCCUUGGGGGAAUACUGACGCUCAUGUGCGAAAGCGUGGGGAGCAAACAGG
rnacentral:rRNA from 1 species